rnacentral:rRNA from 1 species
GACGAACGCUGGCGGCGUGCUUAACACAUGCAAGUCGAACGGAAAGGCCCUGCUUUUGUGGGGUGCUCGAGUGGCGAACGGGUGAGUAACACGUGAGUAACCUGCCCUUGACUUUGGGAUAACUUCAGGAAACUGGGGCUAAUACCGGAUAGGAUCUCCUGCUGCAUGGUGGGGGUUGGAAAGUUUCGGCGGUUGGGGCUGGACUCGCGGCUUAUCAGCUUGUUGGUGGGGUAGUGGCUUACCAAGGCUUUGACGGGUAGCCGGCCUGAGAGGGUGACCGGGCACAUUGGGACUGCGAUACGGCGCAGACUCGUACGGGAGGCAGCAGUGGGGAAUAUUGCACAAUGGGCGGAAGCCUGAUGCAGCAACGCCGCGUGCGGGAUGACGGCCUUCGGGUUGUAAACCGCUUUCGCCUGUGACGAAGCGUGAGUGACGGUAAUGGGUAAAGAAGCACCGGCUAACUACGUG